rnacentral:hammerhead_ribozyme from 1 species
AUCCAGAUGACGAGUCGCAAAUAGAACGAAACGCAUGUCCUGAAU